GGACACGGCACCGGGACUGUGGACCGCGCGCGCCGGUGACACUGCCUCAUUCAUGAUUGGAGCAGGUGAUCCCAGGAGCCACAUUGAUCGCUGAGAUGUCAUGCUCAUGUCAGACUGUGAAAAGGAGGAAGAUUAGGCUCACAGAUUAAGGUUCUGAAACUGGCCCAUAAGCGAGUCCUUGCCCUCCUCCUCCGUGGCGUCCUCGUCCACCAUCUUGAGGAGCUCUUCAGGCACGUCCACGUCGUCUCCGGCCAUUUCGAUCAUGUU